GGCCCAUUAGCUCAGUUGGUUAGAGCGUGGUGCUAAUAACGCCAAGGUCGCAGGUUCGACCCCUGCAUGGGCCA
rfam:Spinacia oleracea cultivar SynViroflay scaffold395.con0010.1, whole genome shotgun sequence.